AGCGAACGCUGGCGGCAGGCCUAACACAUGCAAGUCGAACGAAGUCUUCGGACUUAGUGGCGGACGGGUGAGUAACACGUGGGAACGUACCUUUUGGUUCGGAACAACUCAGGGAAACUUGAGCUAAUACCGGAUGAGCCCUUAGGGGGAAAGAUUUAUCGCCGAAGGAGCGGCCCGCGUUAGAUUAGCUAGUUGGUGAGGUAAGGCUCACCAAGGCUACGAUCUAUAGCUGGUCUGAGAGGAUGAUCAGCCACACUGGGACUGAGACACGGCCCAGACUCCUACGGGAGGCAGCAGUGGGGAAUCUUGCGCAAUGGGCGAAAGCCUGACGCAGCCAUGCCGCGUGAAUGAUGAAGGUCUCAGGAUUGUAAAAUUCUUUUACCAGGGACGAUAAUGACGGUACCUGGAGAAAAAGCCCCGGCUAACUUCGUGCCAGCCGCCGCAGUAACAC
rnacentral:rRNA from 1 species